GAAAACCCAGUAUAAUGACCACCUCAAGUCAACACGCGACCCCCUCACCAAAAGAAUGCAUCCGGGACAAUCGACGCGCCUUUGGCAACGUUGGAAUGAAUGUUUCACCUGGCAAAUUCAACUCGCGUUUCUUUUCUUUCAUCUCAAUUAGUUGGAAAGGUUUCAGAACUGUGUGUUUCCUGGUGAAAUCUCGGCCCCGAAGUUUCAUGCCGAAGAUAUGAAGAUAGGGGAAGCAAAGCCGGCUGAGUACUAGGCGACUGCAAGAUCAGUGUAGGCUACGCAGGGAGGGGGAGAGACCGAACGGGAGGGAUAGAAGAAAAAAGCGAACAGCACCCGAACUGUGCGUGGUUCACCUUCUGAAAAACAGGAAGCCAACGCCGAUCAGUCCACCUGGCCGCAUUGUCCUGCGAGGAGAAGACAGAGGUUUCUCACGGCUCAUCUUGUCACGCAUAUUUUAAAGCCUAAAUAUCGUUAUUGUGGAUUCAAUCGAGAGAAAAAAAUAAUUUUAACUAUACCUAUUUCCUCACUAGGACGGUCGAUAUUCUCCUAUUCCCAACAGGAGUGUAACUCAAGAUGCAGUGUCCCUCCACCUCCCCAGAUGCCACUAGCAUGGAGGAGAGAUACAGGGAAUAAGAGCCUCCAGGAGACCGCAGGUAAGACCUGCAUGUAUUUGUCUUUAGGAAAAGCACCAGGCAAAUACAGAGCCUUCAGAAAGUAUUCAUACCCCUUGACUUAUUCCACAAUUUUUGCUGUUACAGCCUGAAUUCAAAAUGGAUUAAAUAUUUUUUUUUCUCACCAAUCUAUACAAAAUACCCCACAAUGGAAGUGAAAACAUGUUUUUUGAAAUUUGAGUAAACUUUGUAAAAGCACUUUGACAGUGAUUACAGCUCUGAAUCUUUGGGUAAAUCUCCAAGAGCUUUAUACCGGAGUUGUGCAACAUCUUCCCAUUUUUAUUAUUUUCAAAAUUCUGAACCAGGUUUCCUCUAGGAUUUUGUCUGUGCUUAGCUCCAUUCCAUAAAUGUUUUUAUUCUGUAAAACUCCCCAGUUCUUAACGAUUACAAGAAUACCUCUAACAUGAUUCAGCCACCACUAUGCUUGAAAAUAUGGAGAGUGGUACUCAUAUGUUUUGGGCAAAUCCAAUACGACUAACACUUUGUAUUCAGGACAAAAAGUGAAUUGCUUUGCCAUAUUUUUUUGCAGUAUUACUUUAGUGCUUUGUUGUAAACAGGAUGCAUGUUAUUUAUUUAUAUAUAUUUUAAAUAUUUGUAUUCUAUACGGGCUUCUUUUCACGUAUUGUGGAGUAACUACAAUGUUGUUGAUCCAUCCUCAAUUUUCUCCUGUCACUGCCAUUAAACUCUUAACUGUUUUAAAGUCACCAUUGGCCUCUAGUGAAAUCCCUGAGUGGUUUCCUUCCUCUCCGGCAACUGUGAUAGGAAGGAAGCCUGUAUUUGUGUAGUGACUGGAUGUAUUGAUACACCAUCCAAAGUGUAAUUAAUAACUUCUCCAUGCUUAAAGGGAUAUUCAGCUUUGUUUUUAGCCAUCUGCCAGUAGGUGCGCUUCUUUGCAGCCAUUGGAAAACCUCCCUGGUCUUUGUGGUUAAAUCUCGACUAAAGGACCUUAGAUAAUUAUAUGUGCGGGGUACAGAGAUGAGAGUCAUUCAGAAAACAUGUAAAACAUUAUUAUUGCACAUAGUGAGUUCAUGCAACUUAUGUGACUUGUUAAGCAAAUGUUUACUUCUAAACUUUAGGCUUACCAUAACAAUGGGGUUGAAUACUUAUUGACUCAAGACAUUUCAGCUUUUCAGUUUUAAUUUGAAAAAACUAUGGAAAUUCAAAAGGCAUAAUUCCACCUUGGCAUUAUGGGGUAUUGUAUUUAAGUGACAAUCUCAAUUGAAUCCAUUUUAAAUUCAGGCUGUAAAACCAACAAAAUGUGGAAAAAG
rnacentral:lncRNA from 1 species